GACGAACGCUGGCGGCGUGCCUAAUACAUGCAAGUCGAACGCAGUUGGGACGGGUGAGUAACACGUGGGUAACCUCCCAUCAGAGCGGAUAACACUUGGAAACAGGUGCUAAACCGAUACUGUUGGCUGGACCCGCGGUGCAUUAGCUAGUUGGUGAGGUAACGGUUCACCAAGGCCACGAUGCAUAGCCGACCUGAGAGGGUGAUCGGCCACACUGGGACGGAUACACGGCCCAGACUCCUACGGGAGGCAGCAGUAGGGAAUAUUCGGCAAUGGACGAAAGUCUGACCGAGCAACGCCGCGUGAGUGAAGAAGGUUUUCGGAUCGGAAAACACUGUUGGUAGAGAAGCGGUAUCUAAACAGAAAGCCACGGCUAACUACGUGCCAGCAGCCGCGGUAAUUC
rnacentral:rRNA from 1 species